UACGCGCACGUGAGAGCAACUCACCACAUGUUCUCUCUGUCCCAGAAACAACUGGGAAGGACCCCCAAAAGCCAGGGCCCUAAAACACGGACUUUACCUUGCCUUUCAUCCCCGAGGGCCACUGCAGGUCAGCCUGGUUCCGAUGAGGAUAUGAGGAAAAUGGCUGUUCAGCUCCUUCAGCUGAUAAGGUUCCUUGUUUGGAGAGCAAAUAAGAGGAAAAGGUACCUGCUGUAAAUGCUCUGCGGCCCUUGGACAUGCACGGUCCACUGUUGUCUCACAUCAGCUCUCAUAACAGCUCCGGGAAGACCUCCCUCAACCUCACGCCUCGCAUCACCUUUGAGUGAUCACCUGAGUCCCACCUGAAAGUUUUGGAUGAUCACCUGAGUCCCACCUGAGGGAAGUGGGAAAAGCCUGUAGAGGCCCUGAAUGGCUUCAAUAAAGAGAACAAUUGCUUUAGUCACACAAUUAUGAGCUCAGGAUGACUAAAUGCAAAAGGCCCUGAAGGAGCACAGCUAAAGAUCUCUGGCAUCCCAUUCAAUGUGAUCUACCCACCCCCUGCUGCUCAUCACUGGGACCACCAACUGGGAGCAACAUUACUGAAAUGAGCAACAACAGCACAAUGCUGCAACAGCCAUGAGUGAUUCAACUUUAA